UACGAAGGGGGCUAGCGUUGCUCGGAAUCACUGGGCGUAAAGCGCACGUAGGCGGGUUGUUAAGUCGGGGGUGAAAUCCUGGAGCUCAACUCCAGAACUGCCUUCGAUACUGGCGACCUUGAGUCCGGGAGAGGUGAGUGGAACUCCGAGUGUAGAGGUGAAAUUCGUAGAUAUUCGGAAGAACACCAGUGGCGAAGGCGGCUCACUGGCCCGGUACUGACGCUGAGGUGCGAAAGCGUGGGGGAGCAAACAGG
rnacentral:rRNA from 1 species